CCUACGGGUGGCAGCAGUGGGGAAUAUUGGACAAUGGGCGAAAGCCUGAUCCAGCCAUGCCGCGUGUGUGAAGAAGGCCUUCGGGUUGUAAAGCACUUUCAGUGGGGAAGAAAGCCUUGGGGCUAAUACCCUCGAGGAAGGACAUCACCCACAGAAGAAGCACCGGCUACACUCCGUGCCAGCAGCCGCGGUAAUACGGAGGGUGCGAGCGUUAAUCGGAAUUACUGGGCGUAAAGCGCGCGUAGGCGGUCUGAUAAGCCGGUUGUGAAAGCCCCGGGCUCAACCUGGGAACGGCAUCCGGAACUGUCAGGCUAGAGUGCAGGAGAGGAAGGUAGAAUUCCCGGUGUAGCGGUGAAAUGCGUAGAGAUCGGGAGGAAUACCAGUGGCGAAGGCGGCCUUCUGGACUGACACUGACGCUGAGGUGCGAAAGCGUGGGUAGCAAACAGGAUUAGAUACCCGGGUAGUC
rnacentral:rRNA from 1 species